GGCUCAGGAUAAACGCUGGCGGCGUGCUUAACACAUGCAAGUCGAACGGAGUAAUCCUCCCGAAGACCUGACGAGCUUGCUCAGAUGGAAUUCAUUGGAUACUUAGUGGCGGACGGGUGAGUAACGCGUGGGUAACCUGCCCUAUACUGGGGGAUAGCAGUUGGAAACGACUGAUAAUACCGCAUAAGCGCACAGGACCGCAUGGUCUAGUGUGAAAAACUCCGGUGGUAUAGGAUGGACCCGCGUCUGAUUAGCUAGUUGGUGAGGUAACGGCCCACCAAGGCGACGAUCAGUAGCCGGCCUGAGAGGGUGUACGGCCACAUUGGGACUGAGACACGGCCCAAACUCCUACGGGAGGCAGCAGUGGGGAAUAUUGGACAAUGGGGGAAACCCUGAUCCAGCCGACGCCGCGUGAGCGAUGAAGUAUUUCGGUAUGUAAAGCUCUAUCAGCAGGGAAGAUAAUGACGGUACCUGACUAAGAAGCACCGGCUAAAUACGUGCCAGCCGCGGC
rnacentral:rRNA from 1 species